rnacentral:rRNA from 1 species
AGUGAACGCUGGCGGUAGGCCUAACACAUGCAAGUCGAACGGCAGCACAGUAAGAGCUUGCUCUUACGGGUGGCGAGUGGCGGACGGGUGAGGAAUACAUCGGAAUCUACUUUUUCGUGGGGGAUAACGUAGGGAAACUUACGCUAAUACCGCAUACGACCUACGGGUGAAAGCAGGGGAUCUUCGGACCUUGCGCGAUUGAAUGAGCCGAUGUCGGAUUAGUUAGUUGGCGGGGUAAAGGCCCACCAAGGCGACGAUCCGUAGCUGGUCUGAGAGGAUGUUCACCCCCAUUGGACCUGAGACACGGUCCAGACCCUGAGGGGAGGCACCAGUGGGGAAUAUUGGAAAAUGGGGGAAAGCUUGACCCAGCCAUCCGGGGUGGGUGAAGAAGCCCUUCGGGUGGUAAAGCCCUUUUGUGGGGAAAGAAAGCCAGCAGGUUAAUCCCCGGCUGUUUGGCGGUAACCCAAAGAAUAGGAACGGCCAACUUCGUU